rnacentral:lncRNA from 1 species
GGGAAUUAGAGUUGCAUAGGAUCCUUUCCAACCUCAAGGUCUGCAAUUAAAAUCAGAAAACAAACAAAUUAACACAUCUAUGAUAGUUUCAUUCACUAAACAUAGUAAAAAGCAAACAUUAUAUACACUCACCAUCAUCAUCUAUUUCACUCACAUUGUCACUGAUAUUAAGAUUGUUGAAACAACCUUCCAAAGAGGUGGCAUCAGCUUCAGGAUCUGUAAAAUUAAAAUAAGGUUUUUUAAAAAGAAUAAUAAUUCUGAAAACUUGACAAGUUCCCACAAGUCCACAAUCCUAAAUAUUUACAAAACAAAGAAGAAAAUAGUAGUGCUUGCCACUCUUAAGGUCAUCCUUGAUCCAUAUUCUUGUGCGCAU